GACUUUGUUACUUGUUGCACUUGGAAGAGGGAAGGGACCUUGGACAGUAUGUGGAGCGCCGUGUCCACAAAGACUAGCGGCUGGCCCAACACGUGGCAAGGUCGUGGAGAAACGAUACAUCUCAAUAAAGGUGCAACAUUCGAAGCAUUCAGUCCGUGGAACGAAAAUUAUCCAGACACCAGCUAGAAGUCACGCAUGAAACCUACAAGACAGAAUCCAAACUGAAUCCAAACGCCGGGACGCCAUCAUCGUGACAUGUCGCGACAAUUCAUUUUGGCAAAAAUUCAUCGGAGAGACUCCGGAUGCUAGUGGCCAUGUGAAGAAAGCGACGGGAUAAAUACAAUUCUAACGAACUGACGUCGAGUGCCCAAACGGACUUCUAUCGGUCCAGCGCAGGUGCUGGAAGCUGCCCGCGGUUGCAUCUCUGAUGGAACUUCAGGGACUCUGCUCCAAGGUCGCAGCCAAGUUCUAGCCGCCCGCAGUUGAAACCCUGACAACGACCGCCGAAAGUCCUGUCUGUCUAGACUGAGGACGACCUCAGUGACCUUAAAAACCUCCCCUAAAGACUCGAGGGGUAGUAGGAAGACUUGUUCUCCACAGAGAGUGAAAGGAAGACGAUAAAAGAAUAGUUGGACCACAUCUACCCUAUACUACAAGCACAGUCAAGCUAUCCAAUAAGAUUCAUCUUUUGAGGCCCACGAUCACAAUAUUGGUCUGUCGUGUGUAAUGCUUCUGGGGAAAUGUUGCAUGCAUCCACACAGCUGGACGCAUCGUUUGGUACCAAAGUGUUCCUCUGCGUCGUUGUGUUUGCAUCGUAAACGCGGAUUUAGUGACUUCACCAGUGGCUUCUAGAUAAAAGAUUGAACAGCGAGUGCUAGCUGUUCUGAACGUGUUGUUUGAUAAUUCAACCACACGCGCUGUUUAGAUUGGUGAUAUCAAUGACAAACUCCAGUGAGGACUUUAAGAAUAAGUGUGGUAAACGUGGACGAAAGUUGCACAACACAGUCUUCAGAAUCCGCAAACGUCUGACAGGACGCAGACACCUGGUCGCAUGCGACAAUCUUGCAUGCAGUGACGACUGAAUGAACCCAUCUGUCCAUGAAAGAUGCGGAGUUUUUUGGCACAAAAUUUCUUCGUUGAUCCAGGUAAAAAAUAAACUACACUAUUACAGUCAUUAAUUUCGCAAAGAAAGUAACUUUCCUUCUCAGCAAGCUUAUUAUCGAAACACCUGGUCAAGAAAUGUUUUUUAUAAACACCGAAGGAUCAUUACCAUGUAAACAAGAACCCCGUCAGUGACCCCAACCCGGAGUCACCUGAAUCCAAUUCAUACUGUCACACACCGUAUUAUUGCAAGAUACAUUUUAGUAAUAUCAUACCAUCCACAUGUAUGUAUCUUAUGUAGUCUCCACCAUUCACAUCUUCCGAAAAUAUUUCUAGAAUUUCUUAUCUCCACUGUACGUGAUUCCACGCUCAUUUCAUCUUAAAUAUGAAAAUAAUAUUUCGUGAAGAGAACAAAUUAUGAGAAUCCACAUUAAUUUGCAAAUUUCUCGUCCUGCUUUUUUCCUCUGCUUUAGUAAAAAAUACUUCCCUCACCGCUUUAUUCUCAAAACCCAUCAACUUAUGUUUUCAUCAGGCUAGAAUACUAAUAAAAAUCAAACCCACAAAGAUAUUCUUACACAGAAUUAAAACACUGCGCACUCUGGCACAUGCGCAAAACAAUGCAUAUUAGGGUUCACCCCAUCAAUCACACUAGCAGUUCGUAUAUAAGCCCUUCAAAUUCCUUGUGUUUAAACUAUGGAUUGUUAAGGCUUAGGAGAACUCGCGUUAACGGAUAGGAUUUUCAACGUGUCCUAAAAAACAACUCAAGUUUCGGUCCAUUCCCAUUACCACAAAAAACACUAUGGAGGAUGAGUAUACAUUAGGGGAGAGUGAAAGAAAAGCGAUAUUUCUCAAGAAGCUGAAGGCCUGUUGAGCUAUUAUGUUUUGAAAGUGAGAGUGAAGUGUUUCGUUUCAUUUUUGUGCUGUCCGCUCAGUGCUUGCCCUGUUUAGUAGCCAGUUUUCUACUUUCCAAAACUGAUAUCUUGCUUAGUUAUGGAGACUGCUUUAAGAUCUGGAAAUUAAUCAAAUAACCGAUCUGGUUUACGUUAACAAGAUUAAUUAUCUGCAAUUUAAAAGCAUAAGUGUUGCUUGUGUGUAUCAUAUGUCUUACCCAGACAGUGAUAGUGGCAAACGACUUGCAGCUGGAAAAGGCUUAACAUUAUAAGAAAUAAACAAAGCAAAGUUGUCCCUGGUGCUUAAUUAAGCUCCAGACAAAAUACUCGGCACUAGAUAGAAGCCACUGGAUACAGGGCAGGGCAUAGCGGGUCUCCACGCAGUGACGAUCAAAACAUCUUUCCCUUCCGGGAAUCGAAUGCCUGUCGCCAAGUGUGGAAACUUGGAUAGGUCUAUUUAUAUAAUAGAACCUCUUAACAGCCAGGAAAAGAACCUAAGCCCUUUGUGUGUGUAAUAAACACAGCAACUUAAGAGCAUUUCAGUGUUUCUGUUUGAUUAUUAUCACCU